rnacentral:rRNA from 1 species
GAUGAACGCUGGCGGCGUGCCUAAUACAUGCAAGUCGAGCGAACAGACGAGGAGCUUGCUCCUCUGACGUUAGCGGCGGACGGGUGAGUAACACGUGGAUAACCUACCUAUAAGACUGGGAUAACUUCGGGAAACCGGAGCUAAUACCGGAUAAUAUAUUGAACCGCAUGGUUCAAUAGUGAAAGACGGUUUUGCUGUCACUUAUAGAUGGAUCCGCGCCGCAUUAGCUAGUUGGUAAGGUAACGGCUUUCCAAGGCGACGAUGCGUAGCCGACCUGAGAGGGUGAUCGGCCACACUGGAACUGAGACACGGUCCAGACUCCUAAGGGAGGCAGCAGUAGGGAAUCUUCCGCAAUGGGCGAAAGCCUGACGGAGCAACGCCGCGUGAGUGAUGAAGGUCUUCGGAUCGUAAAACUCUGUUAUUAGGGAAGAACAAAUGUGUAAGUAACUAUGCACGUCUUGACGGUACCUAAUCAGAAAGCCACGGCUAACUACGUG